AACUCUGAUUUUCUUUAAAAAAUGCUCUUUUCAUCUCAAAGUGUGCUAAUGCACUAUAAUCAUUAGGUGGCGACUCUUCAAAUUCUAUAACCCAACUCCUAAACGGGAAAGAGAGUUGUUUUGCCCCUAAUGUCGUAAACUUGAUUUUAGUUUCUUUUAGUUGUUGAAAAAGGGGGUCUCGACAGCAUGGCGACUCUGUUAGGGAAUUUUGUAGGCUUUUAC
rnacentral:lncRNA from 1 species